rnacentral:rRNA from 1 species
AUUGAACGCUGGCGUCAGGCCUAACACAUGCAAGUCGAACGAGUGGCGGACGGGUGAGUAAUGUCUGGGAAACUGCCCGAUGGAGGGGGAUAACUACUGGAAACGGUAGCUAAUACCGCAUACCCUCUGAUGUGCCCAGAUGGGAUUAGCUAGUCGGUGGGGUAACGGCUCACCUAGGCGACGAUCCCUAGCUGGUCUGAGAGGAAGACCAGCCACACUGGAACUGGGACACGGUCCAGACUCCGACGGGAGGCAGCAGUGGGGAAUAUUGCACAAUGGGCGCAAGCCUGAUGCAGCCAUGCCGCGUGUAUGAAGAAGGCCUUCGGGUUGUAAAGUACUUUCAGCGAGGAGGCGUUACUCGCAGAAGAAGCACCGGCUAACUCCGUGCCAGCAGCCGCGGUAAUUC